CGAGAAGCUUGCUUCUCUGAUGUUAGCGGCGGACGGGUGAGUAACACGUGGAUAACCUACCUAUAAGACUGGGAUAACUUCGGGAAACCGGAGCUAAUACCGGAUAAUAUUUUGAACCGCAUGGUUCAAAAGUGAAAGACGGUCUUGCUGUCACUUAUAGAUGGAUCCGCGCUGCAUUAGCUAGUUGGUAAGGUAACGGCUUACCAAGGCAACGAUGCAUAGCCGACCUGAGAGGGUGAUCGGCCACACUGGAACUGAGACACGGUCCAGACUCCUACGGGAGGCAGCAGUAGGGAAUCUUCCGCAAUGGGCGAAAGCCUGACGGAGCAACGCCGCGUGAGUGAUGAAGGUCUUCGGAUCGUAAAACUCUGUUAUUAGGGAAGAACAUAUGUGUAAGUAACUGUGCACAUCUUGACGGUACCUAAUCAGAAAGCCACGGCUAACUACGUGCCAGCAGCCGCGGUAAUACGUAGGUGGCAAGCGUUAUCCGGAAUUAUUGGGCGUAAAGCGCGCGUAGGCGGUUUUUUAAGUCUGAUGUGAAAGCCCACGGCUCAACCGUGGAGGGUCAUUGGAAACUGGAAAACUUGAGUGCAGAAGAGGAAGGUGGAAUUCCAUGUGUAGCGGUGAAAUGCGCAGAGAUAUGGAGGAACACCAGUGGCGAAGGCGGCUUUCUGGUCUGUAACUGACGCUG
rnacentral:rRNA from 1 species